UACGAAGGGGGCGAGCGUUGUUCGGAAUCACUGGGCGUAAAGGGCGCGUAGGCGGCCCUCCUUGUCGCGUGUGAAAGCCCGGGGCUCAACUCCGGAAUUGCCUUUAAGACUGCAUCGCUAGAAUUGUGGAGAGGUAAGUGGAAUUCCGAGUGUAGAGGUGAAAUUCGUAGAUAUUCGGAAGAACACCAGUGGCGAAGGCGACUUACUGGACACAUAUUGACGCUGAGGUGCGAAAGCGUGGGGAGCAAACAGG
rnacentral:rRNA from 1 species